GACGUAGGGCGCGAGCGUUGUCCGGAUUUAUUGGGCGUAAAGAGCUCGUAGGCGGCCUGUCGCGUCGACCGUGAAAACCCGCAGCUCAACUGCGGGCUUGCGGUCGAUACGGGCAGACUAGAGUGCGGUAGGGGAGAAUGGAAUUCCCGGUGUAGCGGUGAAAUGCGCAGAUAUCGGGAGGAACACCGGUGGCGAAGGCGGU
rnacentral:rRNA from 1 species